GAUGAACGCUGGCGGCGUGCCUAAUACAUGCAAGUCGAGCGAACAGACGAGGAGCUUGCUCCUCUGACGUUAGCGGCGGACGGGUGAGUAACACGUGGAUAACCUACCUAUAAGACUGGGAUAACUUCGGGAAACCGGAGCUAAUACCGGAUAAUAUAUUGAACCGCAUGGUUCAAUAGUGAAAGACGGUUUUGCUGUCACUUAUAGAUGGAUCCGCGCCGCAUUAGCUAGUUGGUAAGGUAACGGCUUACCAAGGCGACGAUGCGUAGCCGACCUGAGAGGGUGAUCGGCCACACUGGACCUGAGACACGGUCCAGACUCCUACGGGAGGCAGCAGUAGGGAAGCUUCCGCAAUGGGCGAAAGCCUGACGGAGCAACGCCGCGUGAGUGAUGAAGGUCUUCGGAUCGUAAAACUCUGUUAUUAGGGAAGAACAAAUGUGUAAGUAACUAUGCACGUCUUGACGGUACCUAAUCAGAAAGCCACGGCUAACUACGUG
rnacentral:rRNA from 1 species